AAACACUUGCACAUUUCUUUUCUUCUCGUCCGAACUUCCAUAUCACACCAAGAUCAACGACUUGUUCCUUCAGCACAAACAAACGGUUCAAAUGAGAACUACACAUGUGUUGCUUUUGUCCCUCGUAUUACUCGUGCUAGCAUCAGGUACUCAUUUGUCCAUGUAAUACGUCUAUGCAUAAUCUCUCCCAACAAAUAAAUGGCCAUGUCGUGAUCAUCCCCUUUCUUCAUCGUGAGAUCUUGCAGAUGUGGUAGUGGAGGCAUCAAGAGAUCCUAGCAUUAAUGAAUUCGUAUGCGUGGAGAAAAUUUUCCCGUCUCCAACAUGUAAUACCCAUGCUUGUGAAGAGGCAUGCUUCAAACGUACAAGGCAAUUCAAAUCUGGUGAAUGUGUUGCUAAGGGGUGCAAGUGCAAGAUGUGCAUAUACCAGCCUCCAGCCAUCCAUAAUAAUGAACAAAUGGGUUCUAAUUAGCUGAGAUAGGAUUCUGUUUUUAGCGAAUAAUGUGACCGAAUCACAAAUGGUGUAGAGGCAAGGUUUUUCACUCAUAUAAGCCAUAUGAAGAGUGAUAAAUUUAGUCUUGCUUCGUGAAAAUUAUAUGGAAUUAAGUAGUGGUCUAUAAUAUUUGAAUAAGUGGUCUAUAAAAUUUGUGUGAUUGAAUAUGUAUUGUUUUUAGUUAAACUAACUAUUUUUCUAUAGAG
rnacentral:lncRNA from 1 species